rnacentral:rRNA from 1 species
GUCCACGCCGUAACGAUGUCUACUAGCCGUUGGGUUCCUUGAGGACUUAGUGGCGCAGCUAACGCAAUAAGUAGACCGCCUGGGGAGUACGGUCGCAAGAUUAAACUCAAAUGAAUUGACGGGGCCCGCACAAGCGGUGGAGCAUGUGGUUUAAUUCGACGCAACGCGAAGAACCUUACCAGGUCUUGACAUCCAGAGAAUUUUCCAGAGAUGGAUUAGUGCCUUCGGAGCUCUGAGACAGGUGCUGCAUGGCUGUCGU